ACUCCUUUUUACAUGUCUUCAUUUAUUUUUUGUUAAAAGGCUUUUAUAGAAUUAAAUUGUCCAACAUAAAAGAAAGGGUACAGAUGCAAAGAUAUAAAAAUAGGAAUCAGAAAAUAAGAGACAUGCCAUAAACGAGAAGACCAAAAGAGCAUUAGCCUUUCACAAAUCUUUGAAUUGCUGUUCCAGAAAGCUUGAUCACAUUGAACACCUUCUGCAGGACAACCAUGUGAGAAAGAGCUCCAACUACGACAAAGGAGAGAAAAAGAUUUUGCUAACAGUUAAAGGUAUUGCCAGUGAUAUAAUUCGUUAGAUUUGCAUGCGUUUUUCACUGUUUUCGUCCCAUAAAUGUAAUGUUAUGAUAAAAUAACAAUGUAAACACGAUUAGUGUGUCUGCCACAAACAAAAAAGGCGAAAGUACAUGACCAUC